rnacentral:misc_RNA from 1 species
GUAUAAUAAAGGAACUAAAUAGUAAUUUUUUAAAAUUAUAAAGUGAAAUAUGAAAAAUGCAUUUGUACACCAAUAAUUUAUGGGGCAAGAACUGUUUAUGUUGGUUUGCAAAACUGUGAUUGAAGGUGAGGGAGGGCAGCGAUUUGCAUGUGGAUGGUCCGGAUAUGGUUCCAGGGUCUCCUUGUUGGCUGGUGUUGGAAGUGAUGGGGUUUGUCUCAGUUGAGCAACUUCCCAUAGCCAUGCCUCUCCUAGCUUGUUUAGACAUGGCUCUUAGUACCCGUGCAACUUUCGUUUUGCUACUUCUCUCACCCUUUAUUGUUAGGGCUGAAGGUUGGUUGGAAGCUCUUUGGUUAUGAUGAGGAGAUUUUUGAAUAAUUUUUAUCAGGUGUAUCUCAACUUGUGUUUGUUACACUUGUGUUCCUUAUAUUCAUU